UACGUAGGGGGGCUAGCGUUGUCCGGAAUCCUUGGGCGUAAAGAGCGUGUAGGCGGCCCGGUAAGUCCGCUGUGAAAGUCGGGGGCUCAACCCUCGAAUGCCGGUGGAUACUGUCGGGCUAGAGUGCGGAAGAGGCGAGUGGAAUUCCUGGUGUAGCGGUGAAAUGCGCAGAUAUCAGGAGGAACACCAAUUGCGAAGGCAGCUCGCUGGGACGUAACUGACGCUGAGACGCGAAAGCGUGGGGAGCAAACAGG
rnacentral:rRNA from 1 species